UCGCGGCCUAUCAGCUUGUUGGUGAGGUAAUGGCUCACCAUGGCUUCGACGGGUAGCCGGCCUGAGAGGGUGACCGGUCACACUGGGACUGAGACACGGCCCAGACUCCUACGGGAGGCAGCAGUGGGGAAUAUUGGACAAUGGGCGGAAGCCUGAUCCAGCAACGCCGCGUGAGGGAUGACGGCCUUCGGGUUGUAAACCUCUUUCGCCUGUGACGAAGCGCAAGUGACGGUAACAGGUAAAGAAGCACCGGCCAACUACGUGCCAGCAGCCGCGGUAAUACGUAGGGUGCGAGCGUUGUCCGGAAUUAUUGGGCGUAAAGGGCUCGUAGGCGGUUUGUCGCGUCGGGAGUGAAAACCAGGUGCUUAACACCUGGCUUGCUUUCGAUACGGGCAGACUAGAGGUAUUCAGGGGAGAACGGAAUUCCUGGUGUAGCGGUGAAAUGCGCAGAUAUCAGGAGGAACACCGGUGGCGAAGGCGGUUCUCUGGGAAUGACCUGACGCUGAGGAGCGAAAGUGUGGGGAGCGAACAGGAUUAGAUACCCUGGUAGUCCACACCGUAAACGUUGGGCGCUAGGUGUGGGGUCCAUUCCACGGAUUCCGUGCCGCAGCUAACGCAUUAAGCGCCCCGCCUGGGGAGUACGGCCGCAAGGCUAAACUCAAAGGAAUUGACGGGGGCCCGCACAAGCGGCGGAGCAUGCGGAUUAAUUCGAUGCAACGCGAAGAACCUUACCUGGGCUUGACAUACACCCUGCCGCUCCAGAGAUGGGGCUUCUUUUGGGGGUGUACAGGUGGUGCAUGGCUGUCGUCAGCUCGUGUCGUGAGAUGUUGGGUUAAGUCCCGCAACGAGCGCAACCCUCGUUCUAUGUUGCCAGCACGUUAUGGUGGGGACUCAUAGGAGACUGCCGGGGUCAACUCGGAGGAAGGUGGGGGUGACGUCAAGUCAUCAUGCCCCUUA
rnacentral:rRNA from 1 species